rnacentral:rRNA from 1 species
AACGAACGCUGGCGGCAGGCUUAACACAUGCAAGUCGAGCGCAUCCUUCGGGGUGAGCGGCGGACGGGUGAGUAACGCGUGGGAACGUACCCUUUGCUACGGAAUAGCUCCGGGAAACUGGAAUUAAUACCGUAUGAGCCCUUCGGGGGAAAGAUUUAUCGGCAAAGGAUCGGCCCGCGUUGGAUUAGCUAGUUGGUGGGGUAAAGGCCUACCAAGGCGACGAUCCAUAGCUGGUCUGAGAGGAUGAUCAGCCACAUUGGGACUGAGACACGGCCCAAACUCCUACGGGAGGCAGCAGUGGGGAAUAUUGGACAAUGGGCGCAAGCCUGAUCCAGCCAUGCCGCGUGAGUGAUGAAGGCCCUAGGGUUGUAAAGCUCUUUCACCGGUGAAGAUAAUGACGGUAACCGGAGAAGAAGCCCCGGCUAGCUUCGUGCCAGCCGCCGCCGUAAAAC